rnacentral:sRNA from 1 species
UUGGCUGUCGUCAGCUCGUGUCGUGAGAUGUUGGGUUAAGUCCCGCAACGAGCGCAACCCCUACUUUUAGUUGCUACCAUUUAGUUGGGCACUCUAAAAGAACUGCCGGUGAUAAGCUGGAGGAAGGCGGGGAUGACGUCAAGUCCUCAUGGCCCUUACGUGUUGGGCUACACACGUGCUACAAUGGUACUUACAGUGAGAUGCUAAGAGGCGACUCUAAGCCAAUCCCAAAAAGGUACCUCAGUUCGGAUUGUACUCUGCAACUCGAGUACAUGAAGCUGGAAUUACUAGUAAUCGUGGAUCAGCGCGCCACGGUGAAUGCGUUCCCGGGUCUUGUACACACCGCCCGUCACACCAUGGAAGUUGGUUACACCUUAAGGCAAAGCAUAAAACCUUUGACUACGGUACGAUCAGCGACUGGGGUGAAGUCGUAACAAGGUAGCCGUAGGGGAACCUGCGGCUGGAUCACCUCCUUUCUAAGGAAAUCGAAAAAUAUCAAAACAAUUAUUUUCGAUUUAAAAAAAACCGGUAAUGUGACCGUCCUCAUUUCUCUUCUUUUAAUGUCUCUGAGUAAAAGUGAUGUAGGGGCCGGUAGCUCAGGUGGUUAGAGCGCACCCCUGAUAAGGGUGAGGUCGGAAGUUCGAGUCUUCCUCGGCCCACCAAUAUUAUGGGGGAUUAGCUCAGCUGGGAGAGCGCCUGAUUUGCAUUCAGGAGGUCAGCGGUUCGAUCCCGCUAUCCUCCACCAAAAUUUGAGACAUUUAGCUUUUUUAAAUUGUGAAUAUUAUUAAUAUUAUCAAUAUCUAUAUCCGAUUGUUUUCAGAUAUUUUUUUUGAAAACAAUCAAAACAAAAAUUUAAUUUAUUACAGAAAAAUUUUUUUCUGUGCAUAAAUCAAGCGUUUAAGGGCGAUUGGCGGAUGCCUUGGCACUGUAAGACGAUGAAGGACGUGGUAUACUGCGAUAAGUUUCGGGGAGCCGUAUACAGGCUUUGAUCCGAAAAUUUCCGAAUGGGGAAACCCGG